UUGGAUCCAGACUUUGAUUCUGGCUCAGGAUGAACGCUAGCUACAGGCUUAACACAUGCAAGUCGAGGGGAAACGAUAGAGAAAGCUUGCUUUUUCUAGGCGUCGACCGGCGCACGGGUGAGUAACGCGUAUCCAACCUGCCCACCACUUGGGGAUAACCUUGCGAAAGUAAGACUAAUACCCAAUGAUAUCUCAAGAAGACAUCUGAAUGAGAUUAAAGAUUUAUCGGUGAUGGAUGGGGAUGCGUCUGAUUAGCUUGUUGGCGGGGUAACGGCCCACCAAGGCGACGAUCAGUAGGGGUUCUGAGAGGAAGGUCCCCCACAUUGGAACUGAGACACGGUCCAAACUCCUACGGGAGGCAGCAGUGAGGAAUAUUGGUCAAUGGGCGAGAGCCUGAACCAGCCAAGUAGCGUGCAGGAAGACGGCCCUAUGGGUUGUAAACUGCUUUUAUAAGGGAAUAAAGUGAGCCUCGUGAGGUUUUUCGCAUGUACCUUAUGAAUAAGGACCGGCUAAUUCCGUGCCAGCAGCCGCGGUAAUACGGAAGGUCCGGGCGUUAUCCGGAUUUAUUGGGUUUAAAGGGAGCGUAGGCCGGAGAUUAAGCGUGUUGUGAAAUGUAGAUGCUCAACAUCUGCACUGCAGCGCGAACUGGUUUCCUUGAGUACGCACAAAGUGGGCGGAAUUCGUGGUGUAGCGGUGAAAUGCUUAGAUAUCACGAAGAACUCCGAUUGCGAAGGCAGCUCACUGGAGCGCAACUGACGCUGAAGCUCGAAAGUGCGGGUAUCGAACAGGAUUAGAUACCCUGGUAGUCCGCACGGUAAACGAUGGAUGCCCGCUGUUGGUCUGAAUAGGUCAGCGGCCAAGCGAAAGCAUUAAGCAUCCCACCUGGGGAGUACGCCGGCAACGGUGCAACUCAAAUGAAUUGACGGA
rnacentral:rRNA from 1 species